AGAGAGAGGAAAUCUGUCUGUUUGCAUAGGACAUGCAACUUUUUGUACCAACCAGUCUACACACAUCGAUGUCAACCCAUAUCAUCUAAAUAACCGGUUUUUGUAGGCAUACUCGGCCAGCAGACGAAAAAACGAAGCAGACGGAUCCCUCAAUCACAAUAAACGAAAGAGGUUGUAGAGUUGGAAAAAAAACCCCGAUCAAAUGCUGGCACUAGCUCCAAGUUUUCGCGAUAGACUUCCGAAAGAAAGAAAGGGAACUGGAACGUUUGAAAAAAAGCUCGCAAAUUGAAGCUCAUGAAGGAUUUGACAGCUGAACUCAAAGAAGUGCAAGAGUAAUUCAAGAAGACUAAACGGAGGUGUCCGGUAUGGAGGGCAACAUCAAAACUAUAGCAAAAGAAGAGAAUGAAGUGUAUGUGGGCCGUAUUGAAGGAGAUGAGGAAAUUUCUGAUUGCCGCCGAACAUUACAGCUCGAUGCCGAUCAGCUUGCUUCGUUACGGCUAAAAGUGGGCAAAAAGGAGCAAGCUGUUGCGGAAGCUGAAACGCAGAUUGCCAUUCUAAAGCAAGAGACUCAAUCAUCGCCUUGGUCCUCCUGAAUCGAGUCAGCAAACAGUCUUUGCCUGUUCCUGUUCCUGCUGUCGUCUCCAUUACGAGGUGGCUGGGUGUGUCAAAGAAAUCCGAAGAUCAUUUGCAGCAGCACUGUGAGAAUCAAAACUUGAAACAUCGCGUUUUCCCAUUUGGAGAAUCAGCUGCGUGCCUUCCAGGUAGACAAACUCGAAAAGCUAUGCCUACAACAGCAACUGCAACAAUUUCAAAAGGAAUUGGCUGAAGCCAAAGAAACUCGGGUUGACAGCCGAUUAAGUUUGAUGGAGGAUCCACAAAAUUGUAUACCGAAAUACCGUACUUAUUCAAAAGCUCGUGUAGAAUUUUGCAUCUUCUGUUGCAAAUCGCCAUUCUUUACGUUUUGAUUGUUUAUUUUUUGGUUUGUAUCGAUGCAGAGAACUCCGGUUUCAUAAUGAUAUGGUUACCUUUUGUUUCAGCAUUUCCCGUGAGAAUUUUAAACUAGCCUAACAAUUGUUAAGAACUAUUCAUCUUAUCAUCGUUGUUUUUUAUAUGUGUUACAAUUAUUUCGAUGAUAUGUCUUCUUCUGAAGUUUUUUUAUUUGUUUUCUUUUCCAAUUAGUUCUGCAAUUAUUGGAGCAAUAAUUCAAUAACUAAUUUUGUUUCAUUUUCU